UCAUGAGAUUACAAAUAUUAAGUUCUUUAUAUAUUAAUACAGUUCCCAUGGUUCAUGAACUUUACUUGGUUAAUUGUUUAAUUUGAUAGUUUGACUUAGCAAUCUCAUUAAUAGUUUAUAUAUGAAAUGUUCUUAUGACUCAUGCCGCGUAACACUUAACUAAGUUGAUAAACAGGGUCAUUCAACUGCUGCUGCAGCAAAUGUUCGAAAAUUGAACAAUUAACCAACUGUUGAAGAUGAUGUUGCUCCUCUAACUGAAGUUUCAAAAAUUGCUCCAACUCUGGCAUAUACUGGUUAACUGAUUGUUGCUGCUGCUGCUGCUGCUGAAGUUGCUGAAGCUGCUGAAUGGGCCAUAAAUCCCUCCCUUUUGAUCUUUGUUUCCUGGUCUUUUCUUUCUUCUGUCAUGAUUCUGUUCAUGCCUGAACAUUUGAAAGAUGGGAAAUAAGUGGACUAUGGUUGUGCUACUAUUUUGUUUAUAGACGAACUUACUACUCUUCUAGUUUAUCAAGUAAUUAAGUAGAUUGUCCUUACUAAUCGUGAUCGUGUUGCUGAUAGUUAUGAUGGCAUUUAUAUCAAGUUAUUGAUCUUAUACAGAUCCUUACAUA